GAUGAACGCUGGCGGCGUGCCUAAUACAUGCAAGUCGAGCGAACGGACGAGAAGCUUGCUUUUCUGAUGUUAGCGGCGGACGGGUGAGUAACACGUGGAUAACCUACCUAUAAGACUGGGAUAACUUCGGGAAACCGGAGCUAAUACCGGAUAAUAUUUUGAACCGCAUGGUUCAAAAGUGAAAGACGGUCUUGCUGUCACUUAUAGAUGGAUCCGCGCUGCAUUAGCUAGUUGGUAAGGUAACGGCUUACCAAGGCAACGAUGCAUAGCCGACCUGAGAGGGUGAUCGGCCACACUGGAACUUAGACACGGUCCAGACUCCUACGGGAGGCAGCAGUAGGGAAUCUUCCGCAGUGGUCGAAAACCUGACGGAGCAACGCCGCGUGAGUGAUGAAGGUCUUCGGAUCGUAAAACUCUGUUAUUAGGGAAAAACAUAUGUGUAAGUAACUGUGCACAUCUUGACGGUACCUAAUCAGAAAGCCACGGCUAACUACGUG
rnacentral:rRNA from 1 species